rnacentral:tRNA from 1 species
GGCACGAUGACCGAGUGGCCUAAGGUGCUUGACUCGAAUACCGUUCGAGAUUAUCAAGUCUCUUCGGAGGCGCAGGUUCAAAUCCUGCUCGUGUCG